GACGAACGCUGGCGGCGUGCUUAACACAUGCAAGUCGAGCGGUAAGGCCCUUUCGGGGGUACACGAGCGGCGAACGGGUGAGUAACACGUGGGUGACCUGCCCUUAGCUCUGGGAUAAGCCUGGGAAACUGGGUCUAAUACCGGAUAUGACUCCAUGACGCAUGUUGUGGGGUGGAAAGCCUUGUGCGGCUAGGGAUGGGCCCGCGGCCUAUCAGCUUGUUGGUGGGGUGAUGGCCUACCAAGGCGACGACGGGUAGCCGGCCUGAGAGGGCGACCGGCCACACUGGGACUGAGACACGGCCCAGACUCCUACGGGAGGCAGCAGUGGGGAAUCUUGCGCAAUGGGCGAAAGCCUGACGCAGCGACGCCGCGUGGGG
rnacentral:rRNA from 1 species